GGAAACUCGAGCUCCUUGGGAAGGAUGCAUGGCUGGCUGUUGUCUUUGUUAUUUCUGAAGCAAAGAAUAAGCAGCCUAUGACAGAGACAUUCUUAGGUCAACUCACCUUGGAAUUGAGGGAGAAAAUAGGGAGUGCUACAAAUGCCAUCUUGAGCUCCUGAAUGAAAGGCAGCAUAUCAAUCAAUCAUAGAGGAAAAAAACAUCUGCCAGUACCUCUCUUCAACUUCCUGAAUGGGAAGUGAGUGUCUUCACCACUAGGCCACCACACUGCUCUAGCAACCAUGAAUAAUAUCUUGCCUGCUUCAUUGAUAACUGCUGCUCGUGGAGUAGAGUUGGGACCUGACCAUCUCCUCUUGGCCAUCAUCUUUAGGG